rnacentral:rRNA from 1 species
GACGAACGCUGGCGGCGUGCCUAAUACAUGCAAGUCGAACGCAGUGGGGACGGGUGAGUAACACGUGGGUAACCUCCCCUCAGAGGGGAUAACACUUGGAAACAGGUGCUAAACCGAUACUGAUGGAUGGUCCCGCGGUGCAUUAGCUAGUUGGUGAGGUAAAGGCUCACCAGGGCGACGAUGCAUAGCCGACCUGGGAGGGGGAUCGGCCACACUGGGACGGGGACACGGCCCAGACUCCUCGGGGGGGCAGCAGUAGGGAAUCUUCGGCAAUGGACGAAAGUCUGACCGAGCAACGCCGCGGGAGUGAAGAAGGUUUUCGGAUCGUAAAACUCUGUUGUUAGAGAAGCGGUAUCUAACCAGAAAGCCACGGCUAACUACGUGCCAGCAGCCGCGGUAAUAC